UGUGAUAUAGCUUAGUGGUAAAGCACUUGCCUAGCAAGUCCAAUGCCCUGGGUUCGAUUCCCAGUACCAAAA
rnacentral:tRNA from 1 species